AAAGGUAAGCUACUAAGAGCGAAUGGUGGAUGCCUUGACUGGUAAAGGCGAUGAAGGACGUACUAGACUGCGAUAAGCUACGGGGAGCUGUCAAGAAGCUUUGAUCCGUAGAUUUCCGAAUGGGGCAACCCAAUGUAUAGAGAUAUACAUUACCUAUAUAGGAGCGAACGAGGGGAAUUGAAACAUCUUAGUACCCUCAGGAAAAGAAAUCAAUAGAGAUUGCGUCAGUAGCGGCGAGCGAAAGCGCAAGAGGGCAAACCCAGUGCUUGCACUGGGGGUUGUAGGACUGCAAUGUGCAAGAGCUGAGUUUAGCAGAACAUUCUGGAAAGUAUAGCCAUAGAGGGUGAUAGUCCCGUAUGCGAAAAACAAAGCUUAGCUAGCAGUAUCCUGAGUAGGGCGGGACACGAGAAAUCCUGUCUGAAUC
rnacentral:rRNA from 1 species